AUGAGGUAUUACUUCACAGACUUAGUGGCUGAGAAUCUUUAUGAUAAAUGGUUCAGACUGAAUAUCAUACAUGAUGUGGAUGGAGGAAUAGUGAGUGUGUUCAUUGAUGGAGAGAACAAGUUUCAAACAAAGGAUCAUGGGCCAGGUGAUUUGUACUUCAAAUGUGGGGUUUAUGCUGCACCUGCUCAUAUUAGUAACUACAUGGAAUCAAGGUGGAGACACAUCAAAAUAUAUAAAAAAUGA